rnacentral:rRNA from 1 species
UACAGGGGGUGCAAACGCUGCUCGGAAUCAUUGGGCGUAAAGCGCACGUAGGCGGUUCGUUAUGUCGGAUGUGAAAGCCCCUGGCUUAACCGAGGAAGUGCAUCCGAAACUGGCGAGCUAGAGUACGAAAGAGGAUCGCGGAAUUCCCGGUGUAGAGGUGAAAUUCGUAGAUAUCGGGAGGAACACCGGUGGCGAAGGCGGCGAUCUGGGUCGAUACUGACGCUGAGGUGCGAAAGCGUGGGUAGCAAACAGG